ACUUUUAAUGGACAUUAGCAGUC
rnacentral:tRNA from 1 species